rnacentral:rRNA from 1 species
ACAGGGAUUGCCUCAGUAACGGCGAGUGAAGCGGCAACAGCUCAAAUUUGAAAUCUGGGUCUUUCAGGCUCCGAGUUGUAAUUUGUAGAAGAUGCUUCGGGUGUGGCUCCGGUCUAAGUUCCUUGGAACAGGACGUCAUAGAGGGUGAGAAUCCCGUACGUGACUGGUUGCCUUCGCCCAUGUGAAGCUCUUUCGACGAGUCGAGUUGUUUGGGAAUGCAGCUCAAAAUGGGUGGUAAAUUUCAUCUAAAGCUAAAUAUUGGCCAGAGACCGAUAGCGCACAAGUAGAGUGAUCGAAAGAUGAAAAGCACUUUGGAAAGAGAGUUAAACAGUACGUGAAAUUGUUGAAAGGGAAGCGCUUGCAACCAGACUUGCACGCUGCCGAUCAUCCGGGGUUCUCCCCGGUGCACUCGGUUGCGUUCAGGCCAGCAUCGGUUUGGGUGGUUGGAUAAAGGCCUUGGGAAUGUAGCUUCUUUCGGGGAGUGUUAUAGCCCUCGGUGCAAUGCAGCCUACCCGGACCGAGGACCGCGCUUCGGCUAGGAUGCUGGCGUAAUGGUUGUAAGCGACCCGUCUUGAAACACGGACCAAGGAGUCUAACAUCUAUGCGAGUGUUUGGGUGUCAAACCCAUACGCGUAAUGAAAGUGAACGGAGGUGAGAACCCUUAAGGGUGCAUCAUCGACCGAUCCUGAUGUCUUCGGAUGGAUUUGAGUAAGAGCAUAGCUGUUGGGACCCGAAAGAUGGUGAUCUAUACUUGAAUAGGGUGAAGCCAGAGGAAACUCUGGUGGAGGCUCGCAGCGGUUCUGACGUGCAAAUCGAUCGUCAAAUUUGAGUAUAGGGGCGAAAGACUAAUCGA